rnacentral:rRNA from 1 species
AGAGUUUGAUCCUGGCUCAGAUUGAACGCUGGCGGUAUGCUUAACACAUGCAAGUCGAACGGAAACGAAACUAGCUUGCUAGUAGGCGUCGAGUGGCGGACGGGUGAGUAACGCGUAGGAAUCUGCCUGAUAGUGGGGGAUAGCCCGAAGAAAUUCGGAUUAAUACCGCAUAAUCUAUUCGUAGUAAAGUGGGGGACUUUCGAGCCUCACGCUAUCAGAUGAGCCUGCGUAAGAUUAGCUUGUUGGUAGGGUAAAAGCCUACCAAGGCAACGAUCUUUAGCUGGUCUGAGAGGAUGAUCAGCCACAUCGGGACUGAGACACGGCCCGAACUCCUACGGGAGGCAGCAGUGGGGAAUAUUGGACAAUGGGGGCAACCCUGAUCCAGCAAUACCGCGUGUGUGAAGAAGGCCCGAGGGUUGUAAAGCACUUUCAAUUGUGAAGAAAAGUUAGCGGUUAAUAACCGUUGACCUUGACGUUAACUAUAGAAGAAGCACCGGCUAACUCCGUGCCAGCAGCCGCGGUAAUACGGAGGGUGCAAGCGUUAAUCGGAAUUACUGGGCGUAAAGCGUGCGUAGGCGGUUUAUUAAGUCAGAUGUGAAAGCCCCGGGCUUAACCUGGGAACUGCAUUUGAAACUGGUCAACUAGAGUAUGGUAGAGGAAAGUGGAAUUUCUGGUGUAGCGGUGAAAUGCGUAGAUAUCAGAAGGAACAUCAAUGGCGAAGGCAGCUUUCUGGACCAAUACUGACGCUGAGGUACGAAAGCGUGGGUAGCAAACAGGAUUAGAUACCCUGGUAGUCACGCCGUAAACGAUGAUAACUAGCCGUUGGGGGGAUUUACCCCUUAGUGGCGAAGCUAACGCGUUAAGUUAUCCGCCUGGGGAGUACGGCCGCAAGGCUAAAACUCAAAGGAAUUGACGGGGACCCGCACAAGCGGUGGAGCAUGUGGUUUAAUUCGAUGCAACGCGAAGAACCUUACCUGGUCUUGACAUCCUCGGACCGCUUCAGAGAUGAAGUUUCCUCUUCGGAGGCCGAGUGACAGGUGCUGCAUGGCUGUCGUCAGCUCGUGUCGUGAGAUGUUGGGUUAAGUCCCGCAACGAGCGCAACCCCUACCCUUAAUUGCCAUCGGGUUAUGCCGGGCACUUUAGGGGGACUGCCGGUGACAAGCCGGAGGAGGGUGGGGAUGACGUCAAGUCCUCAUGGCCUUUAUGACCAGGGCUACACACGUGUUACAAUGGGAGUUACAGAGGGAAGCUAAGCCGCGAGGCCAUGCCAAUCCCAGAAAAACUUUCUCAGUUCGGAUCGCAGUCUGCAACUCGACUGCGUGAAGCUGGAAUCGCUAGUAAUCGCGGAUCAGCACGCCGCGGUGAAUACGUUCCCGGGCCUUGUACACACCGCCCGUCACACCAUGGGAGCCGACAAGGGCAGAAGUCGCCGAGCUAACCUUCGGGAAGCAGGCGCCCAAGCUGUUGUUGACGACUGGGGUGAAGUCGUAACAAGGUAACC